GGCGGCGUGUUGCUGAGCCCCAUGGCGAUCUACGCGGUAUUGGCGCUGCUGCUGACCGGCGCGUUGCGCCUCGGCUUGCAGCGCAUCGGGCUGACGUGCUGGAUCUGGCACGAGGCCCUGUUCGACUGUGCCCUA
rnacentral:sRNA from 1 species